UACGGAAGGCAGCAGUGGGGAAUAUUGCACAAUGGGCGCAAGCCUGAUGCAGCCAUGCCGCGUGUAUGAAGAAGGCCUUCGGGUUGUAAAGUACUUUCAGUCGUGAGGAAGGUGUUAGGGUUAAUAACCUUAGCAAUUGACGUUAGCGACAGAAGAAGCACCGGCUAACUCCGUGCCAGCAGCCGCGGUAAUACGGAGGGUGCGAGCGUUAAUCGGAAUUACUGGGCGUAAAGGGCACGCAGGCGGUUAAUUAAGUUGGAUGUGAAAUCCCCGGGCUUAACCUGGGAAUGGCAUUCAAGACUGGUUAGCUAGAGUCUUGUAGAGGGGGUAGAAUUCCAUGUGUAGCGGUGAAAUGCGUAGAGAUGUGGAGGAAUACCGGUGGCGAAGGCGGCCCCUGGACAAAAGACUGACGGCUCAUGUGCGAAAGCGUGGGGAGCAAACAGGGAUUAGAUACC
rnacentral:rRNA from 1 species